GUUAGCUGUCGUGCUAGCAGUAGAAGCCAUCAGGUAAGUGUUAUUUAAAUAAAGUCCUGGUAUACUUACAAACGUUCCAAUGCCUCAUUUUAUGAGUACAGAACUACUGUACUACUGUAGAAGUUUGGUACCAUUCUGGGUAUUAUUAGUGGGGUAAUUUACGAGAUACACCUUUGGAUCCAUUAGCGCCUGUGCUAAGCCAUUCGGCUGA